GAUGAACGCUGGCGGCGUGCCUAACACAUGCAAGUCGAACGGAACUAUUUUGGAAACUCCUUCGGGAGCGGAAUCUUUAGUUUAGUGGCGGACGGGUGAGUAACGCGUGAGCAAUCUGCCUUUAAGAGGGGGAUAACAGUCGGAAACGGCUGCUAAUACCGCAUAAAGCAUUAAAUUCGCAUGUUUUUGAUGCCAAAGGAGCAAUCCGCUUUUAGAUGAGCUCGCGUCUGAUUAGCUGGUUGGCGGGGUAACGGCCCACCAAGGCGACGAUCAGUAGCCGGACUGAGAGGUUGAACGGCCACAUUGGGACUGAGACACGGCCCAGACUCCUACGGGAGGCAGCAGUGGGGAAUAUUGCGCAAUGGGGGAAACCCUGACGCAGCAACGCCGCGUGAUUGAAGAAGGCCUUCGGGUUGUAAAGAUCUUUAAUUAGGGACGAAACAAAUGACGGUAC
rnacentral:rRNA from 1 species